rnacentral:rRNA from 1 species
AUGAACCACUCCCCUACAGUUCAAUCUCGUCUCACGGACCUUGGCACGAUCUUGAAGCGACAUCAGCUUCACAGAUUUGUUCAUGUAGGCACCAAUUGCAAGACAUCCUCUCUCGUCGUAACUAAGGCUCUCCCGACGAGGUGCCCGACGAUUGCUAGUAUUUCCCGGCAUUUCUCCAUGUGUGCGGUGCGAGCGGAGGGGGGUUGGGCUCAAGGCGGUCUUGAUGAUUGGGGGCAUGGUUGUGGUGGCGGGGGCCACGCAUUUUCGUUAUCUCCGUGGGGACUGCAUGUCGUGGUCACUGGGGAUACAUGGUGGUCGGGAUGCGAUGUGCGUGGACUAGCAAAAGGCCUCGCCGUUAUCUCCUGGGUGUUUUUCCCUGCGUGCGCUGCCGGUUCUAUGCAAGCACCUGGUCAUGAGUUCCGGGGUGAAAAUCUAGAUUCCGACCUCGUGUGGUUGGAUGCGGUGACGGCGACGCUUAAGCGUCGCUUCCGUUGUAAAGGCGUUGUUGUUGAAGAAUCUCGUCGUUGGUGUGAUGUCAUGAGGUGGUUGCUAAUUCGAAAGAGCAGGCUAGCUAGCUUUUCACUGCCCUCUCAGGCCGCGGCUGCUCGACACGUAGUGGGUGUUGAGGCAGGCCCACGCCGAUCGAGUUGCUUUGCUUCUCUCUCGCUGCUGCUGCGCUCCUCGCGGCUCGGGCACUUAAACAGGAGCCGCUCCACCACCAGCGUGCUUGGAUCGAUGUCCAUGGAUGGCAAGACCCCUGAUCUGCUGCCUCUGAGCACGGCCAAGAAGAAGAUCCGCGAUGGCGUCCCGCUGGUCUGCGCAUGGGCGCUCAUCAACACCUUCAGCACAGCAGUCAGCUACGUAGCCGCCGACUACAUCCCCGUCUCGUGCAGCCAGGUAACCACCUACCCGUGUACUACCCUCCGAUCCUUGACAUUUCGACCGAUCCAUCAUGCGCCCUCUGCACUGCAGUCCUCCUUCAUUCUGUCGUGCAUCGAGCUGACGGGCGCGGAGGAAGCCAGGGUAAUCGCCCUCUGCAUCGGGAUUCUGUGCUGCGCCCCAUUGCAGGCGGUCCCAGCGGCGCUGGCGCUGCUGCUCCCAUGCCGUCGUCGCUCGGCCCGCCGAGCCCUCUAUAGAAUAUGGUUGAGAUUACAUGUGGAGAUAAACAUAAACUCUAACACCCUCGCCUACCUCGGGCUCGCGGUCACCGUCCUCUUCCAUUGCAUGUACGCCGGUGCCGUCUGGAUCUUCCUCGCCGCCGACCCAGGAUACAUCUUCGGCCGGAUCUACUUCACCGCCAUCUUCUGCUUCAUCGUGGUGUGCGACCUCCUCAGCUUCCGGGCCCUUCUGGGAGGUGAUGGGUGGGGCAUGCAGUACGUGGCCUAUUUCUUCUGA